rnacentral:rRNA from 1 species
GAAGAACCGUCGAAGGAGCGCGUCAGGGAGGAGGAGUAGGAGAGUGGGGUGCAGAGUGGAGUGCGCCGGGCGUAGGGUAAGGGAAAAGGUCGGGGGGGAGCGACGCAGACGCAGACGACCGUUCUCUGUGUCGUGCGGCGCCGGCGGGGUGGGUGGGCGGUCGGUCGGGAGUGUUUCUGAACUGGCCAAGGACGCUGGCGGAGCCGGAGAAGCGGAGGUGGCGGAGAAGGCGCUAGGGGAAGGCGGGCGGCAGAAGGCAGGCACCGGGGUCGAGGCCGAAGGGGGACGACCAAUGGCGAGAGGGGAGGCUAGCUAGCCAGCCCCGAUGCAGGGCCGCGGCCGCGCCGAGACGAGAGGCGUGGUGUCCACUCCCUUGAGGAAGGAGCCGCUGGUGAAGGGCUAGGUAAGGCAAAGCGCACUCUUCUCCGCGGAAGGACCCACGGCCGCGAAAACGGCGCCAACGACCGUCUCGAGAGCAACCAAAUCCCGAGCUCCAAAACCACGAGGACCUAAAUGCGGAAACCCCCGUCCCUCCUCUCUAAAAAAAUAAAAAAACCGGCCUUGAGGAGGAGAGGAGCUCAGGGUUAAAACCGCGUACGCCUCGAGCUAAGCCCCGGGGAAGGACGCUUUGGUGCCGGGCAACCGAGCUAGCUGGUGUAUCGCCCCUAAGCUCAACGUGGUACCACGCACCCCUCGGCCCCGAGUAACGGCAGACCAACGUCAUGAUUACCUAGGGGAAAACCAGCACACCUCAUUCCCCUCUCUCCCCUAGUAUAUGUUACCUUUGAGAUGCACUGUACCGAGACGGUGGUCCUAAACCUAAGGUAGGAUUCCUGUGACUUGAGCAACGAGUGAUAGACUUUUUCUUUUAUGAACCAGUCUUUUAACUUAUACUGUAAUAUGGUCUCCACCUAUAUAUGUUCGUACUUGGUACCCUAAAUGGACGCUUCACGUUACAAGGUUGUGUCCUAUUGUUCACCGUAAAGAAACGACGAGCUCUGUCUUUCAUAGGAUUACCACGAGCCAGUUUAUCCCGUUGCCAACGACCCAUAACCUUCAGAUGACCUUUUCUGGCCCGGUAAUUCCACCUAUUCUCCUGGUAUCCUUGUUUCUUUUGAAAUCAAAAAGUACUUCCAGCCGGAGGGUGACCUUUUGCAUGACUCACCUAAUACGUACUUAUGAUGUAUCUACUCUUGCUUACAGUUAGGACGGGACUAUACUUCCUACGGAAACAAGAUACAUUUCAAUGAUUUUCUUAACUGACCUGUAGUCUCUUACCAUUGCUCCACCCGUUAUUAUUGGGAGUCGGUGUUGUUCGUUUACAACGACGAUAAAAUCGACAGUCACAACUUGUCGGUCUAUGACGACGUAGUAGUUAAUAACCACUACUUGAAGGUUCACUACGACGAUGGCAUCGAUAGGGACGAGUGUACUGAGGUCUACCCUUACUACUGGAAUUUCUUACCGACCUUCUUGACGAACUAUGGAGGAAACUAGGAAGACGAUUGUGACGUCACCUAAGACAAAGACGAGUUGACAGAGGCCUACUUGUUUUACGACUUAGUAACUUGUAACCACGAUACCGAGGCUUCCACCUUGACCUGAUACGGUCAGGAUUGGUCUGACACCAUCUGCUAUAUCUGAAGGACAACGGUCUACUAUAAGUGAGGUACAACAUAGGACCAUCACUACUGAAGUGAAGUACCGUCGUUUGUAUGAAAUGCCGCCGCCUAGGGAAGUCAGACAGUUUGUUGAAGUACCUACUUAAAGUCUACUUUCUCGAUGUCAAUGGAGACCUUUUAUUACCCGGAUUAGACAUACUUGGACGACUAUGACCUUAACAUCACGCUUGUGCAGUACCCCCUUGUAGACGUCGAUCGCAAGGUGGUAUGUUCCGAGCUGAAGUCGUUUCAGAACCGUCCUACCAAUGCUCGUCGAGACUUAGGUAGUUGGUCUGAUAGUUCAAGCAACUGUUAUUGCCAGUAGAACUAGAGUACUGAUUACACUUUGUGGUCUUCUUUGUACACGCACUAUAAUGAACACGGUCCGUCAGACUACGUCUCUUCACACCUUCAGUGUUGUUGGUUCCUAAAAAGUCCCCGCAGGUUUCCCGUAAAUCUCCGACAAGUCGUUGUCCUGAGUUAUAUGAGCAACGAGAAACGUACCAACCUCAACGACGUCGUUAUGACGUGGUACCUGCAGUGGCACCGCCCUAGUCUAACAUCAUCUCCCCCUAGUCUUCGCACGGAUCAAAAUCGACAUGUUUAGACAUCGUAGAUGCGUGACACUAGAACUGUCAUCCGUGACACUAACUUCACCUACUCGCUAACUCGUACACCGACCCUAGGAACGGAAGACCUCCAUGAACCAGCAAUGUGCAUUACACAAGAGAGCACGUCCUGUAACUAAGGGAAUAUAGACCAACGACGUACCACAAACAUGUAUACUUCGAGAACGAAAAACUAGUUAGACCGAUCCAUAAUACCACUACCUACUCACGGUUUGUCUUUUCUUGUUUUUGUAUCCCUUAUUAUCAACACUAUUUAAGAGAGAAUGAUGUACGAUCUAAACAUUGAGACUUGGUAUCAAUUGUCGAACCUCAUCCCAGUAGAAAAAGUAAGCUCAACUUGAUUCCUAUAAAUACAUUUAAUCGCUCAUUAUUAGUAGCAGAGAUACCUAAUGUCGUAAUAACCUAGUGUCAUAACGACAGUAAACUUCGCUACUGGACAAACGAACUCAUGAUGACAGUAAACUUCGCUACUGGACAAACGAA